rnacentral:rRNA from 1 species
CAGUAGCCGCGGUAAUACGAAGGGGGCUAGCGUUGCUCGGAAUCACUGGGCGUAAAGGGUGCGUAGGCGGGUCUUUAAGUUAGGGGUGAAAUCCUGGAGCUCAACUCCAGAACUGCCUUUGAUACUGAAGAUCUUGAGUUCGGGAGAGGUGAGUGGAACUGCGAGUGUAGAGGUGAAAUUCGUAGAUAUUCGCAAGAACACCAGUGGCGAAGGCGGCUCACUGGCCCGAUACUGACGCUGAGGCACGAAAGCGUGGGGAGCAAACAGGAUUAGAUACCCGCGUAGUCCCUGUCUCUUAUAC